rnacentral:rRNA from 1 species
CUACGGGGCGCUGCAGUGAGGAAUAUUGCACAAUGGGCGCAAGCCUGAUGCAGCCAUGCCGCGUGUAUGAAGAAGGCCUUCGGGUUGUAAAGUACUUUCAGCGGGGAGGAAGGGAGUAAAGUUAAUACCUUUGCUCAUUGACGUUACCCGCAGAAGGAGCACCGGCUAACUCCGUGCCAGCAGCCGCGGUAAUACGGAGGGUGCAAGCGUUAAUCGGAAUUACUGGGCGUAAAGCGCACGCAGGCGGUUUGUUAAGUCAGAUGUGAAAUCCCCGGGCUCAACCUGGGAACUGCAUCUGAUACUGGCAAGCUUGAGUCUCGUAGAGGGGGGUAGAAUUCCAGGUGUAGCGGUGACAUGCGUAGAGAUCUGGAGGAAUACCGGUGGCGAAGGCGGCCCCCUGGACGAAGACUGACGCUCAGGUGCGAAAGCGUGGGGAGCAAACAGGAUUAGAUACCCGGGUAGUC